AUUCAGCCUGCAUCGCUCAGACUGAAACGCACUGUGCUAAUGAGGAAGAGAGCUGAAUGCCACGAAAUCCCCGCUGUACUGGUUCUAAAAACAGCUGGAUGCCCUGAAAGAUGAAGGUGGACACGGGAGGCAAACAGCCAGAAGGCUUCACCCACAGAUGACAGAUCUUUUCUAGCAUCGAAGAGGACUGAGCUUUUCCAGGGUCCCAUUCUAGCCUCUGGACCUGAGUCUUGGCAGCACUGACUGGUUACCUGCAAGCCACACAGUCAUCCCUUAACCUAUCACUGAAGUCAAAGAGAUGUGAUCUCCCGAUUGAUUGGCUUGGCCAGGUCACAUGCUCACCUCUGAGGUUGAAGUGAGGUGAGGUCUGCAGUUACUGUUUGAGAGAUUCCUGCAACAUUUCUGGAAGCCCCAGUGAGAUCUCCUUCUCCAUGGCCCCAUGGUAGAGACGGGCUGCUGCUCCCUGGUCUCUGAGAACACUAAAGUCUUCUGGAACUGAGAAGCACAAGGGGACUGCGGGACCAAGACCUGGAGUCUCUGGGAAACAUACAUCCUAAACAGGACUUCAGGGUCCUCUCCCAGUGGACAAGGGGACUGCGGGACCAAGACCUGGAGUCUCUGGGAAGCACACAUCCUAAACAGGACUUCAGGGUCCUCUCCCAGUGGACAAGGGGACUGCGGGACCAAGACCUGGAGUCUCUGGGAAGCACACAUCCUAAACAGGACUUCGGGGUCCUCUCCCAGUGGACAAGGGGACUGUGGGACCAAGACCUGGAGUCUCUGAGCGGAAGACCAGAUGAGACUGGGCUGGAUGUCCAGGCCAGGUAAAGACAAAAAAGGGAGAUAGGCAGGAAGAGCCAGCAAUGGCUAGAUCGCCUUGCAGGAUAUUAUAUCUGGAGCCUUGAAGGGAUACUCAGGUAGCACCGGUCCCCAAGGAAAAGGCCUUGAUGAGAUACUCAGGUGGAUUAGUCUUGGAAGAAAUAGACAGACUAAGCAUUUAAAAGGGGGAUGUAUAACUUCUAAGUGAAUGGUGAAUGACUGUGUAGGUGACUGUAAUGCUCCCGCAGCUCCGUGGCUACAGAAUUUGAUUGGGCCUCAACCUCAGAUCGGCUGAAGCCCUUUCAAAUGAACAGGCACUCCCACUCACAAUAGGAGGUGACCAAGUACAAGGUUAUACAUGUGGCUCUAAGGAAAGACCUCUGAAAUUGCCACAUGGUGUCUGGCCAGGCAGAUGCCUGCUUGAGGGAGAAGCUGGUCUCCACCUCACCCUAUUACUACACAGGGUUAGGCACACAUAAACUCCCCCAGUUUCCAGAUAGGGAAUUUUUCUCACCAUGGGAUUUGUAAAAUCCUGAUGUGAAACUCACACAAUCCUGCAAAGACCUUUGUGAUGGUUUGUAUAUCCUUGGACCAGGGAGUGGCACCAUCUGAAGGUGUGGCCUUGUUGGAAUAGGUGUGACCUGGUUGGAAUGGGUGUGUCACUGUGGGUGUGGGUAUAAGAUCCUCACCCUAGUUGCCUGGAAGUCAGUCUUCCACUAGCAGCCUUUGGAUGAAAACAUAGAACUCUCAGCUCCUCCUGCGCCAUGCCUGCCUGGAUGCUGCCAUGCUCCCACCUUGAUGAUAAUGGACUGAACCUCUGAACCUGUAAGCCAGCCCCAAUUAAAUGUUGUUUUUUAUAAGA
rnacentral:lncRNA from 1 species